rnacentral:tRNA from 1 species
GGGCGAUUAGCUCAGUUGGUUAGAGCGCCACGUUGACAUCGUGGAGGUCACUAGUUCGAGUCUAGUAUCGCCCACCA